CGAACGGGUGAGUAACGCGUGAGGAACCUGCCUCAAAGAGGGAGACAACAGUUGGAAACGACUGCUAAUACCGCAUAAGCCCACGACCCGGCAUCGGGUAGAGGGAAAAGGAGCAAUCCGCUUUGAGAUGGCCUCGCGUCCGAUUAGCUAGUUGGUGAGGUAACGGCCCACCAAGGCGACGAUCGGUAGCCGGACUGAGAGGUUGAACGGCCACAUUGGGACUGAGACACGGCCCAG
rnacentral:rRNA from 1 species